rnacentral:piRNA from 1 species
UAGGCCUGGAGGGGCGAUCUAGCCCAUUAU